rnacentral:rRNA from 1 species
UACAGAGGUCCCAAGCGUUGUUCGGAUUCACUGGGCGUAAAGGGUGCGUAGGCGGUUGGGUAAGUCUGACGUGAAAUCUCCGGGCCUAACCCGGAAACUGCGUUGGAUACUAUCCGGCUAGAGGAAUGGAGGGGAGACUGGAAUACUUGGUGUAGCAGUGAAAUGCGUAGAUAUCAAGUGGAACACCAGUGGCGAAGGCGAGUCUCUGGACAUUUCCUGACGCUGAGGCACGAAAGCUAGGGGAGCAAACAGG